UCAGAAUUCAGCUGUGAGGAUACAGGGAAGGAAGCGGGCCAGGCCUGGGAGAAGAAAAGACUCAUUGGGGAGAUGGCAUGUAAUCUGGUUCCCAGAAAGCCUGGUGGGAGAGUGAACUGGAUAGUGGUGCAGACCAUGCAGGAGUGAAAGAAGAAACAAUGUAACUCAGUCACUGGGAGGACUGAGGUCAAGGUGAAGAGGGAGGUGGGAAGAGCAUGGCCUGGCCACGAUUUUUGCAGAGAGGAGCUCUCCUCACCAGCUUCAGUCAUCACCACGUUGCUGUGUUCCUGCUCACGUUCUUCAGCUAUUCAUUACUCCAUGCAUCAAGAAAAAAGUUUAGCAAUGUGAAAGUCAGUAUCUCUAAGCACUGGACCCCAAAUGCUUUUAACACAUCACUUGACCUGCCUGCAGAGAUCUGGAGCAGCAACCACCUAUUUCCCAGCACAGAGGAAGCCACUCUUUCUUGGAACACUAGAUACUGUUUUUCUGUUCUCAUAUGCUGUGGAGUUCUCUAAACAGCAUCAUAGGGGAUCGGCUGAAUUUGCAAUGGUUCUGUCUUUGGCAUGUGCUCUUCUGUAUUCGUGCCGAGGAGUUGUCUUUGGUCUCUGGAGUGCCUGUGCUUCGGUGGGCAAUAUUUUGGGAGCAUUCCUGGCUUCAUCGGUUCUCCAGUAUGGUUAUGAGUAUGCCUUUCUGGUGACGGCAUCUGUGCAGUUUGCUCGUGGGAUCGUCAUCUUCUUUGGACUUCCAGUGUCACCAGAAGAAAUUGGUCUCCCAAGUAUUGAGGCAGAGGAAAGCUCGGAAGAAGAUUCACAGAGGCCACUCAUCGAUGGUGCUGAAAAUGAAGAUGACUAUGAGCCUAACUAUUCGAUCCAGGAGGACAGGACUGUCGUCCAAGUGAAGGCCAUAAGCUUUCAUCAGGCUUGCUGCCUUCCUGGGGUCAUCCCGUACUCACUGGCCUACACCUGCCUGAAGCUAGUGAACUACUCCUUCUUCUUCUGCCUGCCCUUUUAUCUGAGUAACAACUUCGGGUGGAAGGAAGCGGAAGCUGACAAGCUGUCCAUUUGGUACAACGUCGGAGGUAUCAUAGGUGGGACUCUGCAAGGCUUCAUCUCUGACGUACUGCAGAAGAGAGCACCUGUGCUGACCCUCAGCCUCUUCCUGGCCGUUGGGACCCUUGUUGGGUAUAGUUGCUCUCCAAACAGUAAGUCCAUCAAUGUGCUUCUGAUGACCAUUACAGGGUUUUUUAUCGUUAGACCAUCCAAUAUGGUUAGCUCUGCUAUUUCUGCAGACUUGGGUUGCCAAGAACUGAUCCAAGGGAGCAGCGAGGCUCUGGAGACUGUCACGGGGAUCGUCAAUGGAACAGGGAGUAUUGGUGCUGCUGUGGGCCAGUAUCUGGUGUCUUUGGUCCAGGACAACUUAGGAUGGAUGUGGGUUUUCUACUUUUUUAUUCUCAUGACAAGUUGUACAAUUCUGUUUAUCUCGCCAUUAAUAGUGAGGGAAGUAUUCUCUCUUGUGCAAAGGAGACAAACUCACUCACUUAAUGAAUGA